rnacentral:rRNA from 1 species
UAACAAGGAUUCCCCUAGUAACUGCGAGUGAAGCGGGAAAAGCUCAAAUUUAAAAUCUGGCGGUCUUUGGCCGUCCGAGUUGUAGUCUGGAGAAGUGCUUUCCGCGCUGGACCGUGUACAAGUCUCUUGGAACAGAGCGUCAUAGAGGGUGAGAAUCCCGUCUUUGACACGGACUACCAGUGCUUUGUGAUGCGCUCUCAAAGAGUCGAGUUGUUUGGGAAUGCAGCUCUAAAUGGGUGGUAAAUUCCAUCUAAAGCUAAAUAUUGGCGAGAGACCGAUAGCGAACAAGUACCGUGAGGGAAAGAUGAAAAGCACUUUGGAAAGGGAGUUAAACAGUACGUGAAAUUGCUGAAAGGGAAACGCUUGAAGUCAGUCGCGUUGGCCGGGACUCAGCCUUGCUUUUUGCUUGGUGCAUUUUCCGGUCGACGGGCCAGCAUCGAUUUUGACCGUCGGAAAAGGGCUAGGGAAAUGUGGCACCUUCGGGUGUGUUAUAGUCUCUAGUCGCAUGCGGCGGUUGGGAUCGAGGAACGCAGCGCGCCGCAAGGCAGGGGUUCGCCCACUUUCGCGCUUAGGAUGCUGGCGUAAUA